rnacentral:rRNA from 1 species
AGCGAACGCUGGCGGCGUGCUUAACACAUGCAAGUCGAGCGAAGGUGUUUCAAGGGUAACCUUGAGAUACACUUAGCGGCGGACGGGUGAGUAAUACGUGGAUAACUUACCUCUAGGCCUGGGAUAACCCCGGGAAACUGGGGCUAAUACCUGAUAAGACCACAUUGUCUACGGACAAAAGGGGUAAAAGGUGGCUGUGCAAACAGCUAUCGCCAAAAGAUAGGUUCACGUCCCAUCAGGCAGUGGCGAGGUAAUGGCUCACCAAACCAAAGACGGGUAGCCGGCCUUGGCGGGUGAACGGCCACACGGGGACUGAGACACGGCCCAGACUCCUACGGGAGGCAGCAGUGGGGAAUCUUGCGCAAUGGGCGAAAGCCUGACGCAGCGACGCCGCGUGAGGGAUGACGGCCUCGGUUGUAA